rnacentral:rRNA from 1 species
AUGUCUAAGCAAAGAAGGCAGGGCGAGGAGGAUGAGCCCAACUACUACCGCGACCGCAGCGGCAACAAGGAGAAGAGCCUCUAUCUGUUCGCAGCCCUGGGCAGCAACAUCAUCGCCACGAGCAACAUACACGCCGGAACCCUCUUCUACGACACUGACACCACCGGACUGCCCGUCGGCCCUCCCGUUCGAGACGCACUGCUUUGUGGCUCCAACACCUUCCUGACCUCCGGCGCCGGCGACGCGCUGUACGUGUUCGCCUUCCACUUCAUGGAGCGGUAUGUGUCCUUCCAGGCGAUGGCGAAGCCACCGACGACGGAAGACGACGACCUGCUGCCCACCUACUGGUCCUGGAAAAGCAUGCCGACGCCCUUCACCAAGGACGAGAUGAUCUUCUCCUACGCGCUGCACCCGGACGGGCGCACCAUAUUCGUGUCCUCGUGGAGCAGGGCGGUCUGCGGCACGUACUCCGUCGACACCAGGAGCUGCAAGUGGAGGCGCCAUGGGGAGUGGAUGCUGCCUUUCAGAGGCCGAGGCUCCUUCGCCGCCGAGCUAGACGCAUGGGUCGGGCUGCACGAGGACGGCUACGUCUGCCCCUGCUAG